rnacentral:rRNA from 1 species
CCUACGGGAGGCAGCAGUUUCGAAUCAUUCACAAUGGCCGGAAGCCUGAUGGUGCGACGCCGCGUGAGGGAUGAAGGCCUUCGGGUUGUAAACCUCUGUCACUGGGGAAGAAACGCUUCAAGCUAACAGCUUGAAGCCUGACUUAACCCAGAGAGGAAGCAGUGGCUAACUCUGUGCCAGCAGCCGCGGUAAU